rnacentral:rRNA from 1 species
AUUGAACGCUGGCGGCAGGCCUAACACAUGCAAGUCGAACGAGUGGCGGACGGGUUAGUAAUGUCUGGGCAACUGCCUGCUGGAGGGGGCUAACUACUGGAAACGGUAGAUAAUACCGCAUACCCUCUGAUAUGCCCAGAUGGGAUUAGAUAGUAGGUGGGGUAAAGGCUCAUCUAGGCCACGAUCCCUAGCUGGUCUGAGAGGAUGACCAGAAAAACUGGGACUGAGACACGGUCCAGACGCCUACGGGAGGCAGCAGUGGGGAAUAUUGGACAAGGGGCGCAAGCCUGAUGCAGCCAUGCCGCGUGUAUGAAGAAGGCCUUCGGGUUGUAAAGUACUUUCAGCGGGGAGGCGGUACCCGCAGAAGAAGCACAGGCUAACUCCGUGCCAGCAGCCGCGGUAAUUA